rnacentral:rRNA from 1 species
GACGAACGCUGGCGGCGUGCCUAAUACAUGCAAGUUGAGCGCUGAAGGUUGGUACUUGUACCAACUGGAUGAGCAGCGAACGGGUGAGUAACGCGUGGGGAAUCUGCCUUUGAGCGGGGGACAACAUUUGGAAACGAAUGCUAAUACCGCAUAAAAACUUUAAACACAAGUUUUAAGUUUGAAAGAUGCAAUUGCAUCACUCAAAGAUGAUCCCGCGUUGUAUUAGCUAGUUGGUGAGGUAAAGGCUCACCAAGGCGAUGAUACAUAGCCGACCUGAGAGGGUGAUCGGCCACAUUGGGACUGAGACACGGCCCAAACUCCUACGGGAGGCAGCAGUAGGGAAUCUUCGGCAAUGGACGAAAGUCUGACCGAGCAACGCCGUGGGAGUGAAGAAGGGUUUCGGAUCGUAAAACUCUGUUGGUAGAGAAGAACGUUGGUGAGAGUGGAAAGCUCAUCAAGUGACGGUAACUACCCAGAAAGGGACGGCUAACUACGUG